UCCUUCCUUCCUUCCUUCCUUCCUUCCUUCCUUCCUUCCUUCCUUCCUUCCUUCCUUCCUUCCUUCCUUCCUUCCUUCCUUCCUUCCUUCCUUCCUUCCUUCCUUCCUUCCUUCCUUCCUUCCCUCCUUCCCUCCUUCCCUCCUUCCCUCCUUCCCUCCUUCCCUCCUUCCCUCCUUCCCUCCUUCCCUCCUCCCUCCCUUCCUCAAAUGUCUUGUGAAGUGCAGUGCCAGUCUGUGAAUAACUGUAUGAGCGGAAAAGGUUUUACAUUAGUUCCUUCCCUUUGUUCUCUCUCUUCCUUCCCUAUUCUUAGCUUUUCUAGCUGGAUUUUUUCUUUAUUUUAUUACCUAUAGUACCCUGUAGAUAUGUUUUUCUGUUGUAUAUGGGUUUUUUUCUUUAACAGAUAUCAUUAUCAUGUAGUUCAAUUCAAUUAAAUUUUAUUCUCUGAGUAUUUUUUUUUCAUUCUAACUGGUGAAACUCGAAUUGAUACAGGAGUAAGUUUUAACCAUUCCCUUUCCCCUUUUCUCCCUGUGAAUUAUGCUGGAGUACAAAAGGAAUGGCAAAAUUUAGUUAUGGGUUUGUUUUUGGUUUUGUUUUGGUUUUUUGUUUUUUUGGGGGUUUUUUGGUUUUUUGGGUUUUUUUUUUUUUUUCUUUUUCUUUUUUUUUUUUUUUCUUUCAGGGACCACUACAAACAGAAGAGAAGUGCUCAAGUUGGUAUUCAGAGUGAUGACUCAGUCUAAUGGAAAAUCUAGUUGAUGUUAUGCUCUUCUCCAAGGAUUGCACAUAUGGAGCUUGUAGAUGUUUUGCUGUGUGUUCGUAUUAACAUCAUGAAUCACCUGUUGUGGGGCCUACUAAAAAUUAAUAUAACUUAAAAAAUAUAUAUUUAUUGCCUUUGGAAAGGGCUGAUAGGAAGAAUCCAAUAUUAUGAAGUGUCUGAAGUGCUUAAGCAUUGCAUUCUGGAUUGCAAUUGUGUUCCUAAAAUGAUGUGUUUGAUAUAUUAGCCAAAUUUUAUAUGUACUUGCAAGGAUUAUCAAAGCUAUUUAAUUAAGUAACUAAAAAAAUAGCAUUGUUGAUUUGAUUUAAAAUUUCUCCUGCUUGAGAAAAUAUAUCAUUUUUAUGUAGUAUCCGUUAUGAAUGAAAUGCAACUUCCAGCUCCUUUUUCUCAAUUCCUACAUAUACAUUUUCCUUUAUAACAAACAAACAGUUAUAAAGCUCUGAGAGCCCACAGCUGUUUGUGUUAGGUGGAGAAAACAUGCCUCUUUUUGCUCCUACAGAAAAAAAAAAAUGUCAGGUUCAAUGUGCUGAUAAAUGUAAAAGUGGUAAUAUUCCAAGGUGGGGUUAUGACAGAGGCAGCUUGUUAAACAUAUCAAAGCAUACCCCAGAUAACAGCUGAAUUAAGCUGCAUUGAUUCUAGUUGAAAUUAUACCUUCUAUACAUGAAAUUUAGCUCCACUAGUACAUACCCCACCCAAACAUUUGUUUGUUUUCUAAAACUUGGAGUAGUGAUGCAUAUGGAAAAAAGCUAAAGAGUUUCAUAUGUUCAGAAAUUGUGCAGAACAAUUAAACAAGAUUCCAUUCAGAUUUAGCUGUUGUGACAAGUAAGAGAACAAAAUGUGAACUGCGUGCAAAAUAUUAUUCCCCUUUUGUGAACAGCAUUCAGGAUUUUUUGGCUUGCAGGCUGAACAAGUGACAUGGUUAGUUGAGUGACACCUCACUUCCAGCUAAUUCUUGGCAUCAAACUUAGUCUUGUACAGCUGCACUGACUGAUAUGAGCUCUACCAUGGGAUAUGGUGCUGUUAGAUCAGUGCUUUGGAGAAUCCUAUAAAAGCCUUGCAUUCCGAGCUAGAAGAUAAAAUGAAGUGGGUUUCUUACAUUUUGGUUUUGGUUUUUUUAAGCCUCAAGAGGUCAUAUCUCAUUAAAAUCAAUGGAAAUUUAACAUUAAAUUCAACGUCAGUUUUUAUUCUCAAAUGAGAAUUUAUGCACUUGUGGGACUUUUCAUGGGUUCUACUGGGACAAUGCAUUUGAGAAACUAAACACUCCCUCAGUUUUAAAGAGUCUCUGAACACAUCAAGCAUGAUGAGGUAAAGGAAAGUUUUGAGAUUUAUGUGGAUUACUGAAGUAAUGGUUAGGAUGGGAGGAGAGGCAGCUCUUCAGUGUUGGUUCUGUCUGGGAUGGAGUUAAUUUUCUUAGUAGCUGGCAUGGGACUCUGCUUUGUAUUUGUGUUGGAAACAGUGUUGAUACUGUGUUUGCACUCUUGCUGAGCAGGGCUGGCAGAGCACCAAGGCCUUUUCUGCCUCUCAUCCCAACCCAGCAGCAAGUGGGCUGGGGAUGCAGAGGAAGCUGGGAGAGACUAACUGGGACAACUGACCCCAAGUGACCCAAGGGAUGCUUCAUGCCGUAUGGCCUCAUGCUCAGUAUAUAAACCUGCAGAAGGAGAAAAGGGCGGAUCUUUGGAGUGACGGUUUCUGUCUGCCUGAGUCACCUUUCUGCAGGCAGCUGAACACCUGCCUGCUGAUGGGAAGUGGUGAGUGAAUUCCUUGCUCUGCUUUGCUUGUGCAUGCCGUUUUUGCUUUGCCUAUCUCAAGACAUGAAUUUUGCUUUAUCUCAAUACAUGAAUUAUCUCAUUUUUGCUCUUCCAAUUCUCUCCCCCAUCCCACCUGGGCACAGUGAACAAACAGCUGCAUGAGACUCAGUUGCCAGCUGGAGUUAAACCACGACAGUCACCUCUCCACCCCUUGUUCAGGGACUCCUUUUGAUUUGGCAGUUUCAGGCAGAGGCAUUAGUGUGCCCCAGCCAGUGGCUUCCCAGCAGUGCCAUGAGGAUUGCAGAAGCCUUCCUGCAGCACUCGCUGUAACUCUGUCCAGCUUCCCUAACUCGAGGACUUCUUUUGGCACUGCUGCACAAGAGCUAUCAACUAAGACUACAAAAAUCCAGAUUGCACUGGCCACUGAUGGAAAAUUUUUCAGACUGACAGAAGAACUGAAAAUAAAAGUGCUUCCACGGUGAGGGAUGAAAACAGUCAUGGGAUCAUAAUCAAGUUGUAUCCCUGUGAAUAACUGUUUUGUUAGGCCUGUACUAACAUAGAUGAAGGCAGAAUUUAUGUACGCUCCUUGUGAAAACAUACACUGCUGUCAACUAGUCUUUUAGUUUCUGUCUGACAUUAAAAUCUGUAAUUCUUUUUAAAAGAAAACAUAAGUGAACAGGAAAACAGCUUAGAAAUUUAAAGAACUUGCAGCAUGUAAUAAUUUUAAACAAAAGUCUGACUGCCAUUUAAGAUGUACUAAAUGUAUGUUAUUCUUUAUAUGCCAUGGGAACUACAACUCUUGAAAUUCUUGAAGUCUCCAAAAACCUUAAUCUGUACAAAAAAAAAGAAGAAAAAAUUAAAACUGUUCUAGUGUCUGUCAAUAUGCACUUUACUUACAGUGGUAUAUAAAACAAAGCAGUUUCCUAAGAACCAGUAGUAUAACUCGUCUGCAUAAACCAGUGACACUGAUUCUUGUUCUGAGAACUCAAGAGUUCCUUUUAAUUAUCCAUCAGAUCAAGAGAAAUUAUCUCUCUCUAUGAAUUUAACAUUUGAUUUCUGGAAGCCAAUACUUUUAGAGUUUGCUUUUAGAGCAAUACAUUUAGCGGCAACAACUAGGUAACAGAGAUCCACAUCCAAAUACAAUAUGCAUAAAAGUGAUUCCAGGUCAUGCAGCAUGAUAAGGCAUCAUUUCCAUCAGAAAAGUUUG